UACGUAGGGUGCGAGCGUUAAUCGGAAUUACUGGGCGUAAAGCGUGCGCAGGCGGCUUUGCAAGACAGGCGUGAAAUCCCCGGGCUUAACCUGGGAAUGGCGCUUGUGACUGCAAAGCUGGAGUGCGGCAGAGGGGGAUGGAAUUCCGCGUGUAGCAGUGAAAUGCGUAGAUAUGGGGAGGAACACCGAUGGCGAAGGCAAUCCCCUGGGCCUGCACUGACGCUCAUGCACGAAAGCGUGGGGAGCAAACAGG
rnacentral:rRNA from 1 species